GUCGCUGGCCUUUAAAAACGGCAUGUGCACGCCCCUUUCACUAAUCCACACACACCUGUGCACCUUCGCGGGGGCUCUCGGGGAACCGACGCAAGUCGUAAGUACCGGAGCUCGCGUCCCUUUACACACCCCUUUGUAUGUCUUAAGAAUGUCUACUCGAUGUAAUAAAACGCAUCUAAUACAACUUUCAACAACGGAUCUCUUGGCUCUCGCAUCGAUGAAGAACGCAGCGAAAUGCGAUAAGUAAUGUGAAUUGCAGAAUUCAGUGAAUCAUCGAAUCUUUGAACGCACCUUGCGCCCUUUGGUAUUCCGAAGGGCACACCUGUUUGAGUGUCGUGAAAUUCUCAACCCUCUUCACUUUUUUGGUGAAGCCAGGGCUUGGACUUGGAGGCUUUGCCGGCUCUGCUCGGCUCCUCUCAAAUGCAUUAGUGCGUCUUGUUGCGACGUGCGCCUCGGUGUGAUAAUUAUCUACGCUGUGGUGUGCUUGCUUCUGUGGAGACGC
rnacentral:rRNA from 1 species